rnacentral:rRNA from 1 species
UCAACGUUUGACAUCGGAUCAGGUAGGGAUACCCGCUGAACUUAAGCAUA